UACGAAGGGGGCUAGCGUUGCUCGGAAUCACUGGGCGUAAAGCGCACGUAGGCGGAUUGUUAAGUCAGGGGUGAAAUCCUGGAGCUCAACUCCAGAACUGCCUUUGAUACUGAGAGCUUGAGUCCGGGAGAGGUGAGUGGAACUGCGAGUGUAGAGGUGAAAUUCGUAGAUAUUCGCAAGAACACCAGUGGCGAAGGCGGCUCACUGGCCCGGUACUGACGCUGAGGUGCGAAAGCGUGGGGGAGCAAACAGG
rnacentral:rRNA from 1 species